UACAGAGGAGCCAAGCGUUGUCCGGAUUGACUGGGCGUAAAGCGCACGCAGGCGGACGCGCGCGUGGGGUGUGAAAUCUGGCCGCUUAACGGCCAGGCGCCAUCCCAUACGGCGCGUCUGGAGUGAUGCAGAGGUCGAUGGAAUUGCCGGUGUAGUGGUGAAAUGCGCAGAUAUCGGGAGGAACACCUAUGGCGAAGGCAGCUCGCUGGGACGUUACUGACGCUGAGACGCGAAAGCGUGGGGAGCAAACAGG
rnacentral:rRNA from 1 species